UCCGUAGGUGGAUCAAUCAGUCAGAGGUGAAAUCCUGCAGCUCAACUGUAGAAUUGCCUUUGAUACUGGUUAUCUUGAGUCAUUAUGAAGUGGUUAGAAUGUGUAGUGUGGCGGUGAAAUGCAUAGAUAUUACACAGAAUACCGAUUGCGAAGGCAGAUCACUAAUAAUGUACUGACACUGAGGGACGAAAGCGUGGGGAGCGAACAGGAUUAGAUACCCUGGUAGUC
rnacentral:rRNA from 1 species